GAUAGUGAAAACUAUGAAUGUGAUGCAUGUAAAAUUUAAAAAAAAAUUAAUAUCUAAAAAGACAAAUUAAUUUACAAUAUUUGACAAAUACAACUAGGCUAUGUUACAUUAAAAAUAUAAAUAUCUUGUAUAUUUAUAAUAUUGGCAGUGUGGUUCUUGCUGGCCCUGGGUGACGAGAGAUCCCGAAAUCAAGAGAUUGAACCAAAAAACAACUCUUUUUAUAAGAGUUGUUUUUUUAUCUUUUUUGCUUUUUUGCUUUUAGUGCAAAACAAGGUUAUCAAUAAUUGCUU
rnacentral:ncRNA from 2 species